rnacentral:rRNA from 1 species
AUUGAACGCUGGCGGCAGGCCUAACACAUGCCAGUCGAGCGGAUGAAGGGAGCUUGCUCCUGGAUUCAGCGGCGGACGGGUGAGUAAUGCCUAGGAAUCUGCCUGGUAGUGGGGGAUAACGUCCGGAAACGGGCGCUAAUACCGCAUACGUCCUGAGGGAGAAAGUGGGGGAUCUUCGGACCUCACGCUAUAAGAUGAGCCUAGGUCGGAUUAGCUAGUUGGUGGGGUAAAGGCCUACCAAGGCGACGAUCCGUAACUGGUCUGAGAGGAUGAUCAGUCACACUGGAACUGAGACACGGUCCAGACUCCUACGGGAGGCAGCAGUGGGGAAUAUUGGACAAUGGGCGAAAGCCUGAUCCAGCCAUGCCGCGUGUGUGAAGAAGGUCUUCGGAUUGUAAAGCACUUUAAGUUGGGAGGAAGGGCAGUAAGUUAAUACCUUGCUGUUUUGACGUUACCAACAGAAUAAGCACCGGCUAACUUCGUG